rnacentral:rRNA from 1 species
CAGAGGAGCCAAGCGUUGUCCGGAGUGACUGGGCGUAAAGCGCACGCAGGUGGUCGUGCACGUGGGGUGUGAAAGCGCUGGGCUUAACCCAGCGAGGCCACCUCAUACGGCGCGGCUCGAGCCCUGCAGAGGUCCAUGGAAUUGCCGGUGUAGUGGUGAAAUGCGUAGAGAUCGGCAGGAACACCCAGGGGGAAACCAGUGGACUGGGCAGGCGCUGACACUGAGGUGCGAAAGCGUGGGGAGCGAACCGGAUUAGAUACCCGGGUAGUCCACGCCGUAAACGAUGAAUACUCGGCAUUUGGUGGGCGAUUUUCGUCGGCCGGGUGCCCCAGCUAACGCGGUAAGUAUUCCGCCUGGGAACUACGAGCGCAAGCUUA